UUGGUUUGGAGUUUUUAGACCCUUCAUUGUUGACCAGUGGAAAACUUCCCGCCGAAGUGUUUCAAAUAGCACUUUGUCUUCAAACGAACAAGAUGGACACAUGCAGUUUACAGAAGCAAAAGAUUUGAUUUGAACUGUUCGUGAAACCACACAUACUCAAGAGAAUUUACAAGACUAUUAUCCACAAAAUGCAACAGUCUUAUUUUGAUGAAUUGUUGAACCAGAGAAAUGUGAAGACUUACAGACACCUAGACUGUAUAGUCAACAUAACAAUGAUUAGAGAAUCAGACUACAGUGAACAUUACAAUGAUUAGAAAAUCAGACUAGAGUCAACAUUACAAUGAUUAGAGAAUCAGACUAUAGUCAACAUUACAAUGAUUAGAAAAUCAGCCAGCUGCAUUUCAUCAAUCAGUUUAUGAUGAAGCUUUACAGCAUUGGAAAUGAUUACUCAGGGACCAAACAACUGAGCAGAAAGAAGAACUGUAUGACCUUGAAGAGUAAGCAAUGUAUUAAGUAUAUUUGGGGUUACCAAAGAGUAUGGUAAGAACCUCAUCUUAAAUUAUACUUGAUUGCAGCAGUGGGAUGUUACAGUCAUAGACGUUGGAUAGACUCCGUUGUACUAGGCCAGGGAGGGUAGCGCAGAGUUUCCGCAGCACUAUACAAUAGUAGCAAGAUCACUCUACCAUGAGCUUGUUAAAGGGCCUGUUUGAUGAAAGUGACACCAACGUUCUCCACAACACUACAGAUUUGUUUUUGCAGAUGCAGCUGAGAGGAUGUUUCAGUCAUGGACUCAUUUGAUGGAAGUGGCACCAACAUUCUCAAACACUAAUAAUUUACAAAUUUGUUUUUGUUGUAGAUGCAACCUCAGUCAUACACCCUAGAGUUUGGCUAUGUUGUGACAGAAGAAGAGUGGCAUAUAGACUUCUGUAUGUCCAUUUUUAUGGAAGUGACAAAUUACUAAUCUUUCUUCUUAUAUCCAUUUCAGAGUUCUUACAAAGAUGCAUAGAUUGCAGCAGUGGGAUGUUACAGUCAUAGACGUUGGAUAGACUCCGUUGUACUAGGCCAGGGAGGGUAGCACAGAGUUUCCGCAGCACUAUACAAUAGUAACAAGAUCACUCUACCAUGAGCUUGUUAAAGGGCCCGUUUGAUGAAAGUGACACCAACGUUCUCCACAACACUACAGAUUUGUUUUUGCAGAUGCAGCUGAGAGGAUGUUUCAGUCAUGGACUCAUUUGAUGGAAGUGACACCAACAUUCUCAAACACUAAUAAUUUACAAAUUUGUUUUUGUUGUAGAUGCAACCUCAGUCAUACACCCUAGAGUUUGGCUAUGUUGUGACAGAAGAAGAGUGGCAUGUAGAUUUCUUUUAUGGAAGUGCAAAUAACUAAUCUUUCUUCUUCAUAUCUAUUUCAGAGUUCUUACGAAGAUGUAUAGGUAUGCAGUAUUUAUUAUUUUUGUCUCUGUGUAUUUUUGUCAAUGAGGUAAAACCACAGAACAAAUCAAUCAGAAGUAUUAACUGGUGUAAUUUGAGAACACCCUGGAACACGAGAAAUAUCCUACCUCACAAAAUUUAACA